rnacentral:rRNA from 1 species
UUGAUCAUGGCUCAGGAUGAACGCUAGCGGCAGGCUUAACACAUGCAAGUCGAGGGGCAGCGGGAUGUAGCAAUACAUUGCCGGCGACCGGCGGAUGGGUGCGUAACGCGUAUGCAACCUACCUUAUACAGGGGAAUAACCUUUCGAAAGGGAGACUAACACCCCAUAGUAUUGAUUUAAGGCAUCUUAGAUUAAUUAAAUAUUUAUAGGUAUAAGAUGGGCAUGCGUAUGAUUAGCUAGUUGGUAAGGUAACGGCUUACCAAGGCGACGAUCAUUAGGGGUUCUGAGAGGAAGGUCCCCCACACUGGUACUGAGACACGGACCAGACUCCUACGGGAGGCAGCAGUGAGGAAUAUUGGUCAAUGGGCGCAAGCCUGAACCAGCCAUGCCGCGUGCAAGGAAGACGGCCUUAUGGGUUGUAAACUGCUUUUACAUAAGACUAACCGUAUAUUUGCGAAUAUACCUGAAUGUAUUAUGAGAAUAAGGAUCGGCUAACUCCGUGCCAGCCGCCGC